rnacentral:rRNA from 1 species
GAUGAACGCUAGCGGCAGGCUUAACACAUGCAAGUCGAGGGGCAGCGGGUUUGUAGCAAUACAGAUGCCGGCGACCGGCGCAAGGGUGCGUAACGCGUGAGCGACAUGCCCGUCUCAGGGGGAUAAUCCGGAGAAAUCCGGUCUAAUACCCCAUGGUCCCGUUGGGAUGCAUGUCCUGAUGGGUAAAGAUACGCCGGAGACGGAUUGGCUCGCGUGACAUUAGCUGGACGGCGGGGUAACGGCCCACCGUGGCUACGAUGUCUAGGGGAACUGAGAGGUUGGUCCCCCACACUGGAACUGAGACACGGUCCAGACUCCUACGGGAGGCAGCAGUGAGGAAUAUUGGACAAUGGGCGGAAGCCUGAUCCAGCCAUGCCGCGUGAAGGAUUACGGUCCUAUGGAUUUUAAACUUCUUUUGCACGGGAGCAAUAAGGGUCACGGGUGGCCCGAUGAGAGUACCGUGCGAAUAAGCAUCGGCUAACUCCGUGCCAGCAGCCGCGGUAAUACGGAGGAUGCGAGCGUUAUCCGGAUUCAUUGGGUUUAAAGGGUGCGUAGGCGGUGGCGUAAGUCAGCGGUGAAAUUCACGGGCUCAACCCGUGCCGUGCCGUUGAUACUGCGUUGCUGGAGUACUGUCGCCGUGGGAGGAAUGUGUGGUGUAGCGGUGAAAUGCAUAGAUAUCACACAGAACACCGAUUGCGAAGGCAUCUCACGAGGCAGGGACUGACGCUGAUGCACGAAAGUGCGGGGAUCAAACAGGAUUAGAUACCCUGGUAGUCCGCACAGUAAACGAUGAUGACUAGCUGUCGGCGAUAGACAGUCGGUGGCUAAGCGAAAGCGAUAAGUCAUCCACCUGGGGAGUACGACCGCAAGGUUGAAACUCAAAGGAAUUGACGGGGGCCCGCACAAGCGGAGGAACAUGUGGUUUAAUUCGAUGAUACGCGAGGAACCUUACCCGGGCUCGAACGGUGCAGGAAGCCUUCAGAGAUGGAGGCGCUCUUCGGAGCCUGUAUCGAGGUGCUGCAUGGUUGUCGUCAGCUCGUGCCGUGAGGUGUCGGCUUAAGUGCCAUAACGAGCGCAACCCUUGCUGACAGUUGCCAUCAGGUAAAGCUGGGGACUCUGUCGGGACUGCCACCGUAAGGUGUGAGGAAGGGGGGGAUGACGUCAAAUCAGCACGGCCCUUAUGUCCGGGGCGACACACGUGUUACAAUGGUGGGUACAGCGGGAAGCUACGCGGCGACGCGGUGCAAAUCUCGAAAACCCAUCCCAGUUCGGAUCGGAGUCUGCAACCCGACUCCGUGAAGUUGGAUUCGCUAGUAAUCGCGCAUCAGCCAUGGCGCGGUGAAUACGUUCCCGGGCCUUGUACACACCGCCCGUCAAGCCAUGGAAGCCGGGGGUGCCUGAAGUCCGUUACCGCAAGGAUCGGCCUAGGGCAAAACUGGUAACUGGGGCUA